CCCCUUCCCCUCUGAUCUGUCCCUGUUCCCUCCAACUCUCAUGUCCUUUCCAUUUGGAAAAGCUCUAUUUCCAUUUUUCUUCAAUUUCCUUUUUAAAAAUCCCCUUUCCCUUCCUUCCUUCCCUCCUCCCUCCAUCUGUUAUUCCCCUUUCCAUGUGAACAAGAUCUCCCUACUUCCUAUUAUCUUUUAUUUUGCUCUCUAUUUGUACUUCAGGUUUCUCCUAGAAGAGAACCCAUGUGAUAUUUAGACUUACGUGUCUGAUCCUCCUGCCUUAAAGCCACUGAGUAGCUGGGAUUACAGGCCUGCACCACCCCACCAGGAUUAAUGUUGUAUUUUUAAUGGUCUUAUUAUUCUCUCAAUUACAAGCGCUUAUUUCAUAGUCUUUACCAUUAGAGACAACAGGACUGUCUUAACUACACUUAAAGAAUAACCAACAUGUUUUCCUUAAUAUUGUGUCCAUUAAAUAGUUAAAAUAUAAAAAAGAAAAUUAUUAGAAAAAUACAAUAGCACAAGAAGAAUUAUCAUUAUUCUUUCUAGUUUUCACUUUCUAUUUAGAAAACACACGAGAUAGAAACUGUACCUUAACUUUGACCCAGUUACAGUGGUGAAGCAAUAUGAACUCUGCCCCUGAACGCCAACCUGGAAGUGGAGGUUAUUGCUUCUUCCCACAUGGGUGUCAGUUCAAUUUGAUAAGUGUACCACAUGAACCAACCAUUUAGGAAGCAAGGAAUUAAGAAAACACAAUUCCUGUCUCCCAGAAGCUUAUAGUAUAGAGGAGGUUUUUUUUUGAAUGGUCAAAGUCAGAACAGGUUUUCUUUGUUUAUUCUUUUUGUCGGGAUAGAAAUUGUAAAAAUUUCUCGGCUGCUUCCUUUGGGAAAACGAAGUACUUUAAAAACAAUAUAUAUAUUCAAAAUUCAAAGGAACUGAAGUCAGUACAAUGAGGAGAUGAGUACACUCCCAUGACCACUGAAUGAUUAUUCACAAUGUCCAGUCUUUUUAGAAAUGUACCGCAACGUUUCCUUGGGGGAGCAGGUACUGGGGAUGGAAUGCACUCAGUCUGCACUGAGCUACAGUUAGAGCCUGCAUGACUGUGACGGUUGAUACUCAACAUCAGAGCACAUGCAAUGAUUAAAAGAAGAUAAGGUUUGAUGACCACAGUGCUGCAUACCUAUAAUUCUAGCAUUCUGGGAGCCUGGGGCAGGAGGAUCCCAAGUUUGGGCCCACCAGGGCAACUUGGCAACUUACCUGGAGAUGGCAUCACAUAAUGGAGCUUUACCAGAAAGCCUGGUGGCACAAGCCUGGAAUCCGAGUACAGUACUCACAAGGCUGAAGUAGGAAGAUCGCUGCAAGUUUGAGGCCAACCUGGGAUACAUAUUGAGUUCAAAGCCAGACUAAAUUACAUAGCAAAACCCUGUCUCAAGACAACAACAACAAAAAGUUCUUUUCAAAUUAUAUGUGGAAUAAAGAAUCCGCAGGCCUUCUUCUUUUACAUUGUUAAAAUUGUAUCCUAAUUUCUUAUCUCCUUUUGCUCUCCCAUCCUUUGUUUUACUCCUUUCUAGCAAUUAGCACUCAAGCAUGUGCUUCUGCAACCUCCCAGCCAGGUGGGCUUAUUUGGUUGUCACAAACCAUCCAUAGAUAGGGAAUAAGAAAUGUAGAGAUUAGAAUAAACUCACAGAAAUUAAGAAUAAGGUUGAGGAUCUGCUCAUGUACAUGUGGUGGGUAGGAGUAAAUUCAGAAGGAGUCUUGAAUGGAAAGGAUAAACACUCUGGGAUUUAAAAAUAAUAAUAAUUUGGCUUUUUUAGAGAACUAAGAAAACCAGGAUAUGACCAGAAUCUAAUCAGUAAAAGAGAAUUACAAGAGGUAGGAGUCUGAGAGAUGGCAGAACCUGGAACAGAAGAUGCCUCGCUGGCACAAUGAAAAGUCUGAAUGACAUUCCUAGUACAAUGGAAAACCAACCGGAUGGUCUGAAAUGUGAGGAUGACAUGUUCCUGCUUGUCCUCUGAAGGCACCAUGGAAAAGAGAUGUACAUGGAAACUGAGAGAGCAGUUAAUAGGCUACUGCUAUCCAGGGCAGAGGAGAUGCCACCAUGAACAACGUUCCUGGGCACUGGUUUUACAUCUUCACAUUUUUGCUAUCUGCACAAAUAGCAUUUUGCUAUAAUCCCUUUCCUAAGAGGAAUAGAGUUUAGCAGUUUCUGAAUUAUCAUUGUGUAAAUUGAAUACUUUUUAUUUAAACUCAAUCCCUACAAAUUAUGGUGACACAUGAAUGCCUGUAUUAUGACCUGGACCCAGCAACAGAAGAAGAAACCAGAAAGGACAUUUAAAAUGUUUCUCCAAGAUGCAAACACAGUCUCUGCCUUGCUUUGGAGGUCACCUUACAUUGGCAUUGAUUCUCUCCCCCCCCCCCCAUUCUCCACCCCACCUCUUUUUGAGUUUUUAUUUGGAGGGAGGGAUGUUCCCUCCCAGUGUUGGAGAUCGAACCCAAGAAUCCAUACACAGUAAGAAAGCAUUCUAUCUCUGAUCUACAUCCCCAAUUAGCUUUAUCUUGGGGUAGUCUCACUCACACAAACUUAAAUACUCACAGAACUUCCCUCUGCUGCUACCUAAUCAAACACUACACCAUUUAUUACAAGCCCAAUAUGUGAAAAUAAUAGCUUGUACAUGAGUAGCAGACAGCAGAAAUAAUUUUUGUAAAAUAACAGUCAUCUCUAGAUUAUUCAUGGGAGCUUCUUCUUUUUAUAUCCUAUCAGUGACUCUGGAUAAUAUCCUUAAGCUAAUUUAAUUUUCCCUUUGGGCCUAGCCCAAUGGAGUGGUCAAAAAGAGGAUACACUAAGCCUGCAAUGAAGGAGCUCUAGAUCAGGGUGGGUGUUAAGAGAAAAGGAGCCCCUCCAAAUGUCAAUAUAAAUGCUGCAUAUUCCAAAUGUUUGGGCUGGAUUCAUGGAAUAUACAGUCUAAAAUAUAUUCAUGGACCAUAAUAAAGAGAGAAUUUCUAACAUUAUAGUAAGACUAAAACACUUUAUCAUUACUCUGCAGUUAUAGUUUAAAUUUUGUCUCCCCUCACCCUACACCCAACUUGUAUGUUGAAGUCCUAACCACCCCCCCAAUACCUUAGAAUAGGACUAUAUUUGGAGAUGGUGCUAUUACAGGGAAAAUUAAGGUAAAGUGAGAUCAGAUGGGCCAUAACCCAGUACAACUAGUGUCCUUAUAAAACAAGACUAGGACACAGAGGACUCACAGACUCAGGGGUAACUAUGUGAAGAGACCAUGAGAAGGCAGCCAUGGCAAGCUGCAAAGAGGCCUCCAAAGGAACCAAAUCUCCUAACACCUCUGCCUUGGACUUAUAUAUUCUCGAACUGUGAGAAAACAAACUUCUGUUGUUUAAGAUGCCCAGCCUGUGGAAUUAUGUUAUGACCGCCCCAACAAACUAAUUCAUACAACUAAAUUUUUAAAAUUCAUCCUUUAUUUUUAUGUAGGAUAAAAGUAUUUUUGAGAUGAGUUCUGUGUAUUUUCCCUGGAUCAAGGAAAAACUGUAUUAAAAAGUAAUAUGCAAUCUCUUUAAUGUAUGUAUUCUCAUAGAAAUAAAUUCGUAUAACUCUAGAUCUUAUUAACAUACAUUUUUUGCUACUUUCCCCUUUUUAAAAAAUUACCUUUACUAGCUUUGAUAGUUAUUCCUUUCGUUUAUUCUUCACUUUGUUUUAAAUUGACAAAUUGUUCAAGGAAUAAUAUUUCAUUUUCAGAAAGAC
ensembl:lncRNA